GGUGACAGGUGGUGCAUGGUUGUCGUCAGCUCGUGUCGUGAGAUGUUGGGUUAAGUCCCGCAACGAGCCGCAACCCUCGACCUUAGUUGCCAGCAUUCAGUUGGGCACUCUAAGGUGACUGCCGGCUAAAAGUCGGAGGAAGGUGGGGAUGACGUCAAAUCAUCAUGCCCCUUAUGACCUGGGCUACACACGUGCUACAAUGGGCGGUACAAAGGGUCGCGAACCCGCGAGGGGGAGCCAAUCCCAAAAAGCCGCUCUCAGUUCGGAUUGCAGGCUGCAACUCGCCUGCAUGAAGCCGGAAUCGCUAGUAAUCGCGGAUCAGCAUGCCGCGGUGAAUACGUUCCCGGGCCUU
rnacentral:rRNA from 1 species